AUUGAACGCUGGCGGCAUGCCUUACACAUGCAAGUCGAACGGCAGCACGGGUGCUUGCACCUGGUGGCGAGUGGCGAACGGGUGAGUAAUACAUCGGAACAUGUCCUGUAGUGGGGGAUAGCCCGGCGAAAGCCGGAUUAAUACCGCAUACGAUCCACGGAUGAAAGCGGGGGACCUUCGGGCCUCGCGCUAUAGGGUUGGCCGAUGGCUGAUUAGCUAGUUGGUGGGGUAAAGGCCUACCAAGGCGACGAUCAGUAGCUGGUCUGAGAGGACGACCAGCCACACUGGGACUGAGACACGGCCCAGACUCCUACGGGAGGCAGCAGUGGGGAAUUUUGGACAAUGGGCGAAAGCCUGAUCCAGCAAUGCCGCGUGUGUGAAGAAGGCCUUCGGGUUGUAAAGCACUUUUGUCCGGAAAGAAAUCCUUGACUCUAAUACAGUCGGGGGAGGACGGUACCGGAAGAAUAAGCACCGGCUAACUACGU
rnacentral:rRNA from 1 species